rnacentral:piRNA from 1 species
UUAUAUGCAAAUAAGAGGUGUUGACCAGA